AUGUCCAGCUACAUCUGGAGGGAGUGGGCGCUGGACACUCCAAGGGGCCCAAGUCCUGGAAGGUGGGGUUUGCGCCUGGGUCCCCAGGGCUGUGUGAACACCGGACAGCUGUACUUUGGGAAAGGUUCCAAGCUGACCGUGCUGGGAGGGCAGUGGGGAGGGCCCGGGAGGCCACGGGGAGCGGCGCCUGUUUUUGUGCUGUGCCUGGAGGCUGUGAGCCAAAACACGCAGUACUUCGGCCCGGGCACCCGGCUGACCGUGCUAGAGGACCUGAACAAGGUGAAACCUCCCACGGUCACUGUGUUUGAACCAUCCGAAGCAGAGAUCUCCCGGACACAGAAGGCCACGCUUGUGUGCCUGGCCACAGGCUUCUACCCCGACCACGUGGAGCUGAGCUGGUGGGUGAAUGGGAAGGAGAUCCAGAGUGGGGUCAGCACAGACCCUCAGCCCUACAAGGAGCAGAGCAACAUCAAUGACUCCACCUACUGUCUGAGCAGCCGGCUGAGGGUCUCUGCCACCUUCUGGCACAAUCCUCGCAACCACUUCCGCUGCCAAGUCCAGUUCUUUGGGCUAGAGGAAGAAGACAGGAAGAAUUGGAAGGACACCCGCCCCAUACCCAUCACCCAGAAUGUCAGCGCUGAGGUCUGGGGCAGAGCAGAUUGUGGCUUCACCUCAGAGUCCUAUCAGCAAGGGGUCUUGUCUGCCACCAUCCUCUAUGAGAUACUGCUGGGGAAGGCCACUGUGUAUGCGGUGCUGGUCAGCACCUUGGUGCUGAUGGCCAUGCUCAAGAAAAAGGAUUCCUGAGACCAGUUCCAGAUGCCCAUCCUCAGACAUUUUUAAUCCAAACCCUAGGUUCACCUUCACAUGCUUCCAGUCUGUGUUCCCAAUGAGGUAUUCUCUCCUCGCCCUCUUAUCUCCUACCUAUAUGAGUAUCUGUCCCUUCUCUCUGCUGCCCUGCAGACUGAGCUCCUCAAUACUGAAUCUGAGAUAAACUAAACCAAUAAAAAUAUUGUGCUGGA